rnacentral:rRNA from 1 species
AUUGAAUGCUGGCGGCAGGCCUAACACAUGCAAGUCGAGCGGAUGAAGGGAGCUUGCUCCUGGAUUCAGCGGCGGACGGGUGAGUAAUGCCUAGGAAUCUGCCUGGUAGUGGGGGAUAACGUCCGGAAACGGGCGCUAAUACCGCAUACGUCCUGAGGGAGAAAGUGGGGGAUCUUCGGACCUCACGCUAUCAGAUGAGCCUAGGUCGGAUUAGCUAGUUGGUGGGGUAAAGGCCUACCAAGGCGACGAUCCGUAACUGGUCUGAGAGGAUGAUCAGUCACACUGGAACUGAGACACGGUCCAGACUCCUACGGGAGGCAGCAGUGGGGAAUAUUGGACAAUGGGCGAAGGCCUGAUCCAGCCAUGCCGCGUGUGUGAAGAAGGUCUUCGGAUUGUAAAGCACUUUAAGUUGGGAGGAAGGGCAGUAAGUUAAUACCUUGCUGUUUUGACGUUACCAACAGAAUAAGCACCGGCUAACUUCGUG